AGUCGUCACUGAAUGAGCAAACAAAUAUACAUCUAACGAGUAAUAAAUGACAGCGCGGACUUCAACAGCGGCAGGUGUCAACGGAUUUCGUGAAUUUCCGUGAGCAUACGUUAGUGAGCCUCUCGCUCUGUGUUUCGUGGAGGAACUUCGUGUACUACCUCGGUGAGAUAAAAGUAAUACGUACUCGGGCUAGAGUAGUCUGUACGUGUGUGUAUGUACUGAGUGGCGCUUAUUUUUAACUUUUUUUACGGGGAGGGAGUCUAUAAUUUAUAACAGUUACACACCUAGUCAUUUUUCGGAGGGUUCAAUAUUAAAUACGCAUGUAAAUUCCAAUCAUCUAAUCGUUUAACUAUGUAAUCAGUUUUUCCGCGUAGUAAAUUAUUCAUUGCACCUACAUUGUCUUUAACCUACUUCAUGUUGUUUAGCUCGGCAAUCUAUAAUAGCACAACGACACCCACUACUAUAUUAUACUCGUAUAUUAUAUAAUUUCUCUAUCCAUUACUUAAUUUCGCUGCAGGAACAUCUGAUUUGAUUUUUUUUUUUUUUUGGCUCUUGGGGGGAGGUCCUCUGGACCCCUCUCGCUAUAAAUACGUCAAUGCAUCAUGUAUCGAUAUUAUUAUUAUUGGCAAACAAGAUGGUGGUAGCGGAAGUGCGGGACCGAGAGGGGAUGAGGAGGAGGAGGAGGAGAAGAAGAACCGGACGAGAAGUUUGUUCGAGUAGAUUGUUCAUCAAGUCGGAACACUGUUUUAACGCGCGUUUCGCGUUACCAUACGCCACCACAUGCACCGCCGCAGCCGCGGCCGCCGACCGACCUCUCCGCUUUUGUAAGUUCGAUCGCUUCAAGUUUGCGCUGCGAGAGCUCUGAAAGUAUGCGGUUGAUUCUGAAAUCUCCGAUAAGAAACUUUGCGCACCGAGGUUUACGUGGAUGGGGGCACAACAGGGGCAGCGACCCCCGACCGUAUACGUAAUAUACGCUACCACACCGCGGUGGUUCGCCGGAUCGCGGUUAGGAAACUUUGACUAGGGCUGCCGCAGUAUAUAUACGACUAUAUAUAUAUAUAUAUACACACACGUAUACAUUAUAUAAGUAUUAGACUAUUAUACUAUGCGUAAUAUGUGUACUCGAACAAGUAAAUUUUUACCGCUUUGUUUUUCAGCCGUCCGUAAAGACGUUUCAUUAACCUUUUCGGCAACAACAACAACAAGAACGGCAAUAACAGGUGUACGACGGACUUGCGUUGCAGAUAAGAUAUGUGUCGUUCAGUUUCCCCGAACGGAAAGAUCCGCUUUAAUUCACAUCCGGCGUAUACAAAUCGAUCCGUUCUACUGGUCAUAAAUUGGUAUUUAUAGAUAUUGUCGACCGAUUCACAACGAUUCGAAUUCGGUUUUCGGACCGAGUUAUCUCUGUUAACAUUAUCCCCACUCUCCAAAUGGCUGUAUCGCUAAAGUUUUAGCGGCUGAACGCAAAACGAAACGAACGAAUGAUUUUAAACAGAGAUAAUCUGAGUGCGUCCCGCUUUUAAGUUUUACCUUUUUCAAAGUAUGAAUCAUACCACCCGGGUGCGUCCGCUGUCGUAUCGAUGCAGCUUUAUGUUAGGUUAGGGAUUGAUAAAUUGAUCGAUUGGGAAAUAACAUUUUAUUUCAACUUCGAUUAUAAAACUAAGCAAGAUAAUAGAAUACGGCUAGUAGUCAUGUUUUACCCUAACGAAUGUAGUGCCGUUAUUUUUCCCGUAACCUAGUACCGAAGUAAUACUGUAAUUUUCAACAUUUUCAAUAAAAUGAAAAACUGUUAUGCUUUCAUGGGCGAAAUAUUGAAAUAUUAUAAGUACUCUAAAAACUAUGUAUUUUGUAUCUAUUUUAUAACAUUCAAC